rnacentral:tRNA from 1 species
AGGUCGCUAGCUCAAUGGUCAGAGCAGUCGCCUCUUAAGCGACGGGUUCGGGGUUUCAGUCCCCGGCGACCUA